CUCCGACCCCAGAGCGGCGGCGAGAAAGGCGUUGGUCCCCACAAACUGCCCAAAGUCAAGGUGAGGGCCACCCAACCACUCCUUUCACUGCAGUUAAAGCCUCGCGUAGAGGAGACGGAAAAACAGUUGGACCCUGGUGGGUGCGCUGAAUCUUCUUACUAAGGGGAAAUGCAGCCGUGCUGUGUGAGGACUUUUUGCUGUUUGUUUUUAAUUGAAGAACCUAACUCAUUUCGCAAAAGAAUGAUCGAUAUUUGCCCAAAGUAAACGAUCAAUAAUUAAACUGCAUCGAGUUCCCACAGAGGCACUUGUUCUUUCAGCACACAAGUAAAGGAUGCAAAAGUCAACCAGCAGGACAGUUGUUUUCUUAUCCUUGUUUGAAAACUUGGAUGAUGGUUUCAAAGCUACUUGGACCUAGCCUGUACCUGUCGUAGCCAGAAAAAGCAGAGUCAGUCCCUGGACUGUGUUUACUGAAAACUUCUUGCUGGAGGCCGUCAUUCGAAGGAGAGUUCAACUGGGAGUUUGACU